ACACGGCUGCGGCCCGCUGCGCUGCUUCCAAAACACACAGCCGGGCUCGCGGGCGAGCCGAGGCGGGGGGCGCGGGCUGCCAGGGCCAUCGAUCAGCCGGCUCCAGCGGGAAGGGCGGCCCCGGGCGCGGCGGGAAGGGCUGGGCCCCGCGGCCGGCGCGGCGCGGCGCGGCCCCUCCUCGGCUGAGCGCACUCAGCUCACUGCAAGAGAAAAGCCGAGCCGAGGCGGCCGCGGUGCAGGAGCGAGUGGGCCGGGCGGGUUCGGGAGGGGAAGAGCGGCCGCUGGGGCGCGCCGAGCCUCCCUGGCCCCGAGUCGCCGGGGUCAGGGGACACCCUGUAGGCGCGCUCUUUCUUUGUGCCCUGGGGCGACGGGUCCCCCUGGCCGGCGGCCCAGGCGGCGCCCCCCACCUCGUGGGACUUUUCUUUGAAGGCCCGGAGACCCCUGGGGCAAAACUCCCACGGGCCAGGCCUGCCGCUGGAGCUAAAAAGCGGCAUUUGCGCAGUUGGGCUUGCCUGGAAACUUGGCAAACUUUGGUCGGAUCCUCCCCUGCAGAGCGAGGGCCUGGCCUGGCGACCCCCUCAUUUCAAGUCGCUUCUAGGGACCUAGCGCCCUAAGCUCAGUGGCCUUCAGGGUGCUGCGAGCGAGCGGGGCGGCACAAAAGCGCGUUCGGUCCAAGCCAGGCCCCUUCGAGGACUUUGUGUAGAUUGGUACCUAAGUUUAAUGCCUUUUGAGUUUCUUUUUAAACAGUAUUAAUGUAAUAAUUAAUGUAAUAAAAAGAACAAAGGACGAAUUCGUUCGAUUGUUUUAAGUUCUGUGUAAUGUUUAAAACCGCCCCUGCUUCAGUGUAUGGCUUAUUAUUGCUUCAAGAUGUUUUAAAGGCCCUUUAAGUUGACCCAUCUCGCUUUGAUGCUUCAUCCAGACAUCGUGCUGCUUAAAACGGAGUGAUAAUAGUAUAUUUCGAGCCGCUUCAUGUAGCUACACAGUAUUGUAAAAUUAGUACUCGGUAACCUCAAGUAGUGAAAUCGCAUAUUUUAAAUAACGCAAGUCCAGGAAAGGCCACGUGGAGGAUACCCAGAACCGACGCCGGCUCAUGGGACGUCGUGCUGUCCCAUAAGCUUCAUCUUUAAAAUGUAAAGGGUGUGAGUUUUUUUUUUCUUCAUAAUGAAUAAAAGACAUUCCAGAAAAAAAAAGAGUUGGAUUCGUGUCAAUUACUAAUUGCCAUUUAUUGAUCACUGACAUCAUUAAAUGGCUGAUUGGCUGCCUUAAGGUUUGCAUUAGCGGAACACCGUGCUAGGAAUGGCUGGUGAAACUGGCUCAUAGUAGGUGCUCAAAAAAGUACGUUUUUUUCUCCAGGGACACAGUGACGAGAACUUGAAGCACAUAAACCAUGUUUUUUACCUUGUUCAUGUGGGUGUGGACGCAAAGGGGAAGAGCGAAAUAGGCCUGUCGGAGAAAAGUGUGACCCAAGAUAAGAAGGGAGUGGUUUUGAUAUGGAAGGGGCAGGCGGCAAAGGAGAAGAAAAGCCAUUUUAAACAGUUAAUUAGUGAACACUGUGUUCGGUGCCCUGUGGGAAGCUGCUCAAAUGCAACUUGUCGGAAAUGAAUCUAUCUAGUGCUGGGUAGCUCAGUGAAGGACACCAUCAUUCUUCAAAGUGCCCAACAGGGUGGGGCGCGGUCGCUCACGCCUGUAAUCCCAGCACUUUGGGAGGCCGAGUUGGGUGGAUCACUUGAGGCCAGGAGUUCGAGACCAGUCUGGCCAAGUUGGCGAAACAUCGUCUCUACGGAAAUUACAAAAAUUAGGCAUGGCGGCGCACGCCUGUAAUCCUAGCUAUGUAGGGAGGCUGAGACAGGGUGAUUGCUUGAAUUCAAGAGGUGGAGGUUGUAGUGAGCUGAGAUCAUGUCACCACUGAACAGAGUGAGACUCUGUCAAAAAAAAAAAAAAAACCAAAACAAAACAAAAAAAAAACAAAACCCCAACAGAAGCACCUAAGCCUUUCUUCUCGCUAGCAGGGCAUAGCCCAUGUUUCACUGAGUCCUGGACCUCCUUGGUCACUACCCACUCUCUGGCCACUAUGCUGGCCCAGCCUGUUGCCACCAUGUCUUGUUGGUCAUCCUGUCAUCCUGUUUGUAGUAUGGGCUGAAGCAUGAAAAAGGCAUUGGAGCACGGGAGUAAGAGUGCCCUUUCCAAAAUGCAAGCCUGAUCGUGUCAGUCCCUUCAAUGGCUUCCCAUAGGAUGAAGUCCUAAGCUUUCCACCCCUGCUGGCCUGGCCUCUGCCUGUCAUUACAGACACUUCUUCCUCUUCUCUCUUCCUACUCUUUUCCAGCAACGCUGAACUUCUUUCCGUUCCUUUCUUCCAACUCUCUCUUCCCACCUCUGGCCCUUUGCACAUGCUCAUUUUUCUAGGUAGAAAAGCCUUGUCUUCUCAACCUGACCUCUACUCCCAUUUCCCUAAAUUCUAUACAUCGUUUCAGUCUUGACUUAAAUGACAUUUUCUCCAAAUAUGUAUUCUCUCACUGCACCUUUGGACAAGUUGAGGUGCUCUGGUAACAUCUAGUGGGGCGUGAUGGGAGAUGUUUGGGUCAUGGGAGUGGAUCCUCCUAUUUCCCCUCUUGUAACACUUUCCGUUCUUGUAGUUGGCUAUUUAAUGAUCUCUCUGUGGCACUAGACUGGAAACUCUAUGAGGGCAGGGACCUUGUCUUUUCAGCAAAAAUGUAUUCCCAGGGCCCAGAUGUUCAAUGAAUAUUUGUCAAAGGAAUAAAUGUGGUUUAUGAGUUGCGAGGAGGGAGGAGUCAUUCUGAGCUGAAGAGGUGAGUGGGGGCUAUAGGGAGGCAAGUGGCAGUGAACUAUACCUCCAUCAGUCCAGGGGCUUUGAAAUGGUGAAGAGGAGGGAAGAGGGAGUUACCCCCCCUGAGUGCUUUUAAGCAACAGAGUGAGAUAGUAAAAGCGAUGCCUGGGUCUUUUUAAAAUUCCUAACACUAGCACAGUGCCUGGAACAUGGUCAGGUGUUCAGUAAAUCCUACAUGACAAUCUCAAGUGUGAUCUUUGUGGUAGCUGCUUUGCGCUUUUUCCUUGCUGACAGCAGGCCAGUCUGGUUUAGGUGUGGGAAGCCUAUCCUCAGUGGAGGAUACCCAUGCCUGGUCCCAGCAGAGGAACCCUGGUUACUCCCAGCCAAUCCCAGUGUCUUUUGCCAGUGACUGGUUGGAGGGUAGGUAUGCAACCUAGUUCUAGCAAGUGGGACAUGAAGGGAAGUGUGCUGGGGUUUUUUUCCUGAUACAAGGAAAUCCCCAGACCUGCUUUGGAAGCUGUUAGGUGAGGAUGUGAUGCUUGAAGCUGUAGUAGCCAUCUUGUAUUCGUGAGAGAAAGCCAACGUUUCCGUUUCCAUGUGGAUAGUUUUUUUUUUUUUCAAGUCAUUCUGUUUUCAGCUCAAAUGUUGCCUCCUCAGGAAUGACUUCCUUGACCACACAAUUUAAAACAUACCCCCCUUCCUCUUUGCUAUGGUUCAGAUAUUUGUCCUUUCCAAAUCUCGUGUCAAAAUUUGAUCCUCAGCGUUGGAGAUGGGGCCUGAUGGGAGGUGUUCGGGUCAUGGGAGUGGAUCCUUCAUGGAUAGAUGAACACUCUCCCUGAGGAUGGGGAAUAAGUGAACACUUCCUAUGUUAGUUUCGGAGAAAGCUGAUUCUUGAAAAGAGCCUGGGCUAGGCCUGGUGGCUCACGCCUGUAAUCUCAGCACUUUGGGAGGCCGAGGUGGGCAGAUCACCUGAGGUUAGGAGUUUGAGACCAGCCUGGCCAGCGUGAUGAAACCCCAUCUCUACUACAAAUACAAAAAAAGAUAGAAGCCAGGUGUGGUGGUGGGCGCCUGUAAUCCCAGCUACUUGGGAGGCUGAGGCAGAAGAAUCGAUUGAACCUGGGAGGCGGAGGUUGCAGUGAGCUGAGACUGCACUGUUGCACUUCUGCCUGGGCAACAAGGGCAAAACUCUGUCUCAAAAAAAAAACAACCGAGCCUGGCACUUCCCUCCUGGCUCUCUUGUUUCUCUCUUGCCCUGUGAUCUCUGCACACACUGGCUCCCCUUCACCUUCUGCCAUGCAAGGAAGGAGCCUUCCAACCAGCAGAACAGUGAGCCAAAUAAAUGUGUUUUCUUUAUAAGUUACCCAGCCUCAGGUGUUUCCUUUACAGCAACACGAAAUGGACUAAUAUGCCCAUUCAUUGUUUAGUCAUUGUCCUAUUUUCUUUUCUUUUUUUGUAUAUCGUUAACUAAAAACCCCCUUUCUUUUUUUGUUUAUUUGCUACCUUUUUUUCUUAUUAGGAUGUGAGCUCUGUGAGAGCAGGGACAUUGUUUUAUUCACUUUUUCUCAAGCUUCUAGAACAGUGUCUGACAAAUAGAAGUAGAAGGUGUUCCAUAAGUAUUUGUUAAUUAAUGUAUGACAGCUAAGCUACCCCAGGACAAUAACACCAUGUUGAAAUGGAUUCAGGGGCUAGUGGACACAAGCCACUGCAAACCUCCACUUUCUCUUUUGUGACUUACAUCACAGUAUAUCCCAUCUCAGGCAGUCUCUUCCUGCUACACAAAUACAUUUUCUUGAGAUUUCUUAUUUCUUUUCCAAUCUACUUUAGAGCUUUUCUAUUUCUUCCCAGGGCAUUUCUCCUCCUCGUGUGAUGACAGACAAAGCUACCAAGGCAGAAAAGUGUCAUGUGCUUGUGAAUUUACGAGCAGCACAGAUACAUUUACCUUAAAGGAAAACAAAGCUAUAUGAUUUGAAGUAAAAUUAGAAAUGCUAGUCUAAGAAUUAUCCAUCUCUAAAACAUUACAAAAGGUGUGGAGAUUCUCUGCAUCAUCUCUGCAAGUUUCCACCUUUAUUAUCUAUCCAUCCAUCUAAUUUAGAAUUGCCAGGAAAUACCGAGGUUGAGUUAGGUGACCAUGAGUUCUGGUGAAGAUCAGACUGGAUGUAUGAUCCACUCCCACCUCCAGAAGCUCUCAGCAUUUCUAGUGCAGGUGGACAGUUGUCUUGGAUUGUGUUUGGCAGGACAGUGCAAUCCAAGGACAGUGGCACAGUGGAAAUGUUGGUUCUUGGGACCUAACUCAGAGAGGUAAAACAGAAUAAGGCUGUAGAGAAAUAGCCAAGGGAUUGGUGAACUGGACAUUCCAAAUAGGUUGAAGAAUGGGUGUCUUGGGAAUAAUGGAGUGAGUGACCUGGAAGGUUAGGAGGUGAGUUGUCAGAGAAUGGGGACCUACCUGUAAGUUUAGUAUUUAGAGGUGAAGCAGUCCUAGGGGAUGGUGCGGUCCAGGGAGUGCCUGCGGAAGUGGGAGAACUAGAAGGGAGUGGAGAAGAUCCCUGAAGAUGAAGAGAUGAGUGAAAAGAGUGACUGGGGUGUUAAACAUGGUUCCUUGUGGAUCCUGAAAUUACUCAGAGCUAUGGGCAGAGUAAGACUUAGGCCCUCAAGUCAUGUCUUAAUUCCAUUAAAAAAAAAAAAAAAUGUCUGAGAAACAUGGAAGAUAGCCACCAGGAGAGAAUGGUUAGAAGAUAUCCUUUUUCUAUAGUUAAAUCUGCUUUCCUUGAAUCAUGAUUAUUCAAAUUAAAAAUAAUCACUUGGGCUGGGUGUGGUGGCUCACACCUGUAAUCCCAGCACUUUGAGAGGCUGAGGCAGACAGAUCAUCUGAGGUCAGGAGUUUGAGACCAACCUGGCCAACAUGGUGAAACCCUGUCUCUACUAAAAAUAUAAGCAUUAGCCGGGCGCUGUGGCAUGCGCCUGUAAUCCCAGCUACUCUGGAGGCUGAGGCAGAAGAAUUGCUUGAACCCGGGAGGCGGAGCUUGCAGUGAGCCGAGAUUGCAUCACUGCACUCCAGCAGGGGCGACAGAGCAAGACUCCAUCUCAA
rnacentral:lncRNA from 1 species